rnacentral:rRNA from 1 species
AGUGAACGCUGGCGGUAGGCCUAACACAUGCAAGUCGAACGGCAGCACAGUAAGAGCUUGCUCUUACGGGUGGCGAGUGGCGGAUAGGUGAGGAAUACAUCGGAAUCUACUUUUUCGUGGGGGAUAACGUAGGGAAACUUACGCUAAUACCGCAUACGACCUACGGGUGAAAGCAGGGGAUCUUCGGACCUUGCGCGAUUGAAUGAGCCGAUGUCGGAUUAGCUAGUUGGCGGGGUAAAGGCCCACCAAGGCGACGAUCCGUAGCUGGUCUGAGAGGAUGAUCAGCCACACUGGAACUGAGACACGGUCCAGACUCCUACGGGAGGCAGCAGUGGGGAAUAUUGGACAAUGGGCGCAAGCCUGAUCCAGCCAUACCGCGUGGGUGAAGAAGGCCUUCGGGUUGUAAAGCCCUUUUGUUGGGAAAGAAAAGCAGCAGGUUAAUACCCCGCUGUUCUGACGGUACCCAAAGAAUAAGCACCGGCUAACUUCGUG